AGAAGUCGUGCUUGUCUCUCUCUCACACUCCCCCUAUUCCAGGGCUGCACUCUCCUUCUUCUUCCUGGAAGUCUCCAGGAGAGAGCACCAUGCCCCCCUCCACAAAGCCACCUCUCUGCUAACUAUGUACAAGUAAGGACAGGGAGUGGAGGCACAGAGCAGGGACGCCUGCAGCCUAUUGUUCUCCUUGUGACCAUGACCACCAUGCAGUGUCAUAGCUGCUGCUGGGGUCGUAUGGUGUGCCAUCCCCGUGUAACAUUCUAUAGCAGUGGUGACCCAUGUGAAACCUUGUUUGCAGAUGGAAGAUUUCCUAAGGGAUCUCUCCAUCUGUACAACAGGGUCAUCCACAAAGAGAACAGUGAGGCCUACAGAACCCUGACUCCAGAAAAAUGGCUGCAUACAUCAUUUCAUUGAAAAAACGUACCUCCUCCUGUGUUAAUCAUAUAUCUUCCAUGUGUAGUAUGUUUGGUUUAUGGUUGUUGACAUACUCAUUAUGUCAUAUAUUGGGACUUGUUCCUGUGUAAAUCAUCAAGUGUAAGACUAUAUGGGACUCUGAGCCUUGCUUUAGAGAAUUACCACCAAGUUGUACCAUAACUCAAUUUUUUUUUAUUUUUAUUUCUUGUUAUUUUUAUAGUAUAGGUCAGGUGAAUCUCUUCACACUGUGAAUUCAUGUUACACACAAUACAGGUGGGCCUUGUGGCCUGUUUCUAUCACAACAACGUCUUCCUCUACUUCAACACCACUUACAAUAACCUGGUAAACAACACUCAGUUGUUUUUCAGUGAUAUGGGGAGUUAAGUUUAAUUUCUGUGCUAUCUUCGUUUUUCUGUUUAUUGUAGUAUU
rnacentral:sRNA from 1 species